AUCGCUCAACUGCAACAGAAUUUAUUCGAAAUGCCUCUUAAGACUAAUAUAUUUCACAUUUAAUUUUGUACAGUUUUGGGGUAAACAUGACGAGGUAACUGGAAACGAAAAUAGAAAUGAAUUUCUAGACUAAGUAGAUAUUUCAACAAUCGAACAUUUACCUUAGGGAUUGUUGCGCGUUCAAACACAUUGAAAGCUUUGCCGUAAUAUUUGUUCCGAAAGUCGAUCGCUACGAGAUUAUUAUAUUUCCAGCACUUGUCACAAUUGCAGCAGAAAAUGUUGCAACUUCUAACGCCGCAGCAAGGUGUCGGAAUUUUAAAGUCGCCGCAGAGUUCGCUAUAGCACAAUGUUGGAUCGCCGUAAUAUAAUUGUUUGCCAUUAGGAAACUCAGUGCAUCGUGUUGGGUAUCUGACGCUAUAACACAGCAUUGUUGCCAGACAGCAGUAUCCUUUCU